UACGGGGGGUGCGAGCGUUGUCCGGAAUCACUGGGCGUAAAGGGCGCGUAGGUGGUUUGAUAAGGGUGUGGUGAAAGUCCGGGGCUCAACCCCGGAUCUGCCGUGCCGACUGUCAAACUCGAGGACUGUAGAGGCAGACGGAAUUCCGGGUGUAGCGGUGGAAUGCGUAGAGAUCCGGAGGAAGACCGGUGGCGAAGGGCGGUCUGCUGGGCAGUUUCUGACACUGAGGCGCGGACAGCGUGGGGAGCAAACAGG
rnacentral:rRNA from 1 species